UCCAUUCCUCUUAGUCUGUGUUGGGCAGAAACCAUUUUCCAAGCUCAGGAGGUGCUGGGAGCGAGGUGAAGGAUGACUUGGAGAACCAGCACAAACACCGAAAAAGAGUCAAGUAUAAAAACAUAUUUCCUGUGCAGAAGGGAAGAAGGAAGUCAAGGCACAUCAUGGCACUGCCCCAGGCUAAUCUGAAAUCUUUGGCCAGGUUCAUCUAAGGUGAAAAAGCCUGGGAAGCUGCCAUCACUCUGCUGAGCUAAUUCAACCCAAAGUCAUCAAACCAACAUGGCUUUAAAAGUUAAACUAUGCAAUCAAGCAUUCAUGUGUCACCGUCUGCAUUAAUGGCUUUCUGAAAGACAAAAAUUAGUUCUUAUUUAGGUAUAAUAUUCCUAUAAUAAUAGUUGUUAGGAGAAAUGUGGACAUGAAAAAACAGCUAAGAAUAAAAAUCAGGAGGUUUGUCUCAGCUAAAAGGUAUUUUUCUAUUUUUGAUAUUCUCAGUUAUUUUCCAGAGCUUCUGUGAUCAACAUUUUAAGUCAGUCACAGGAUUCCUGCUUGAUUGCCCACUGAGUGUACUUCAUUAGCUCUACUUUAUUGACCUUAGAAAUUGCUGUUAAGGGAGCCCUCACAUGUCUGGUUUUAACUAGGAUGCUCCCUUUCCUUACUUCCAACCAGUAUAUUUCAAACGUGGCACCCAGAUCGCUCAUCCAACUUAAAUGUCUUUUUGUUCUUCUCAUGCUUUCCACAGCAGGUCCACUCGCCCCAUUUCUUCUAAUACAUCUUGUGGGUGUUGAUAGUGCAUCGCAGUGCCCCCUUUUAAAUGCUGAAUUAUUUCAGCAACUAGGAAGUUGUUUUCUCUUGCUCCAGUGACAUUUUAUGGCACAGUAAGGUAGCCUUAAAGUGAGAACUACUGGCUUUAGAGGACUGUCCUUCAUCAUUUGAGCCCUUCUGGCCAUAACAAUAGCAUAAAAUAUACACUGGGCCUCAUCUUAGUUCCUGGCCCAGAUUUCUGUGGCAAUGCCAGAGCUUGCUGAUCUGCUUUUCUCCGUGCAUUCAAUUGAGAGUUACCUCAG